AUUAGGAAGACCCCUUGAAGACGACGAGGUAGAUAGGUUGGAGGUGGAAGUGCAGCAAUGCAUGGAGCUGACCAAUACUAAUCGGUCGAGGGCUUAUCCUAAUAU
rnacentral:rRNA from 1 species